UGCAGGUAGGCUCCGUAUAAAGUAUUGGGAGAUAACAUUCCGCUGUUUAUGCUGCCUUUUAUUUCCAGCCAGCUUAUGGUUCUCAGUUCAGCUGCUUCUUCAAAUCUACGCACAGAUUUCAAAAACGACUUUGCAAUUGAGUUAGGACAUGACAUGACAUGACAUGACACCUAUGAAGAAAUUGAAGUGGAAAGUUACAGUUAAAAGAGAAAGUGUUUGAGAAUUGGAAAGAUGAAGAUGAUGAUGAUGACGAGGACGAUGCAGAAACAAACCUUGAACCUCGGAUGGGUUUCCAGGACCAAUAGAGAGGGCUGUUUCCCCAUGCAAUUGAAAGUUGUCUUGCGCUCAACAGGUAACAGAUUUUGCCACUUCUCUUCUCAAUGGAGAAUAUCUGUUUUUCUCAACCAUUUGUCACUACUAUCAUUCAAAAUAGAUUCAACUCAUACCUUCUUUCUUUAGUCUUUAUAAUUAUAAAAAAUUUACUUUAGAUUAUAUCAUUUUCAUUAAGAUUUUCUUGUUGCUGUAAACAUUUUAACUUUUAGAAAAGGUGAUUUGGCAACCACAGACAGUGUCGCAAA